AGGCAGAAUUUGAGGGAUGAAGAGGCAUUCGUUGGAUCAAUUCCACCGUUAGAGUUCAAGGCUGAAGGAAGAGCUAAUGUGGAGCCUCUCAACUUUAAAGAAUUUAGCAUGGUGGCUCACACCUGUAAUCCAAGCACCUUCUGAGGCAGAGACUGCAGCAAUCAGCCCAGGAAGCCGAAUCACAACCUCUGCAGCAGCUGAUCCCAGAUGGUCAAGAUUUGGUCAAGAACUACUAGUGUCCUUUCUAUCCCUUCUCCCCUGAUUCUAACUUAGGACUAACUGAAGAAACCACAUAUACUCCCCAAAUUAAAUAGGUUAUCCUGCUUCUAGAUAGCCUGCCUUCAGCUUUCCCAGGCCAACCAUCUCCAGUCACAUCACACCUAAAGCCUUCCCUGUUUCUCACAAUGAAGCUUUCCAGAUUCUCUGCCUGUCUUGGUCCCCUGCCAAACUCAAGUGAUGCUGGCUGACUCCCUUGCUAUGUAAACUCUGAAUAAAUAGCCCUGGCUUGAUCUCA